rnacentral:rRNA from 1 species
GUCUACCAUGCAGUCGACGGUAACAGCAGAGCUUGCUCUGGCUGACGAGUGGCGCACGGGUGAGUAAUAUAUAGCUAACCUGCCCUUUGGUGGGGGACAACAGUUGGAAACGACUGCUAAUACCCCAUACUCCUUCUUACCAUAAGGUAAGUCGGGAAAGAUUUAUUGCCAAAGGAUGGGGCUGUACGGUAUCAGUUUGUUGGUGAGGUAACGGCUCACCAAGACUAUGACGCCUAGCUGGUCUGAGAGGAUGAUCAGCCACACUGGAACUGAGGCACGGUCCAGACUCCUACGGGAGGCAGCAGUGGGGAAUAUUGCACAAUGGGGGAAACCCUGAUGCAGCAACGCCGCGUGGAGGAUGACGCAUUUCGGUGUGUAAACUCCUUUUAUAUAGGAAGAUAAUGACGGUACUAUAUGAAUAAGCACCGGCUAACUCCGUGCCAGCAGCCGCGGUAAUACGGAGGGUGCAAGCGUUACUCGGAAUCACUGGGCGUAAAGGAUGCGUAGGCUGGAUGUCAAGUUGGAAGUGAAAUCCUAUGGCUUAACCAUAGAACUGCUUCCAAAACUGGCAACCUAGAGUGAGGGAGAGGCAGAUGGAAUUAGUGGUGUAGGGGUAAAAUCCGUAGAUAUCACUAGGAAUACCGAAAGCGAAGGCGAUCUCCUGGAACAUAACUGACGCUAAGGCGUGAAAGCG